AGGGAUGAAGGCUUUCGGGUUGUAAACCUCUUUUCACAGGGAAGAAUAAUGACGGUACCUGUGGAAUAAGCUUCGGCUAACUACGUGCCAGCAGCCGCGGUAAU
rnacentral:rRNA from 1 species